AUCGCACCCGCCUCGAACACGUCGCGCGGCUGGUCUACGACCAGAACGAGAAGGCCGGGCUGUAACCGGUAAAUAACCUUCAAAAGAAGCCGUCAUUGCGAGGAGCACUCGCGACGAAGCAAUCCGAUUGCUUCGUCGUCAUUCCGGGGCGCGCGUCCUCGCGCGAACCCGGAAUCCAGGCCAACCAUCAGAUUUCUCGAAUUCUGGAUUCCGGGUCUGCGCCAAGCGGCGCAUCCCGGAAUGAC
rnacentral:misc_RNA from 1 species